GCAGAACGCGAAGAACCUUACCAGGUCUUGACAUCCUCUUGACCUCCCUAGAGAUAGGGAUUUCCCUUCGGGGACGAGGAGUGACAGGUGGUGCAUGGUUGUCGUCAGCUCGUGUCGUGAGAUGUUGGGUUAAGUCCCGCAACGAGCGCAACCCUUGACCUUAGUUGCCAGCAUUUGGUUGGGCACUCUAAGGUGACUGCCGGUGACAAACCGGAGGAAGGUGGGGAUGACGUCAAAUCAUCAUGCCCCUUAUGACCUGGGCUACACACGUGCUACAAUGGAUGGUACAAAGGGCUGCAAGACCGCGAGGUUUAGCCAAUCCCAUAAAACCAUUCUCAGUUCGGAUUGUAGGCUGCAACUCGCCUACAUGAAGCCGGAAUCGCUAGUAAUCGCGGAUCAGCAUGCCGCGGUGAAUACGUUCCCGGGUCUUGUACACACCG
rnacentral:rRNA from 1 species